rnacentral:rRNA from 1 species
GAUGAACGCUGGCGGAGUGCCUAACACAUGCAAGUCGAGCGGCAGCACGAGUAGUUUACUACUUGGUGGCGGGCGGCGGACGGCUGAGUAACGCGUGGGAACGUGCCCCAAAGUGAGGAAUAACUGCCCGAAAGGGUAGCUAAUGCCGCAUAUGAUCUUCGGAUUAAAGUAUUUAUUACGCUUUGGGAGCGGCCCGCGUCCGAUUAGGUAGUUGGUGAGGUAAAGGCUCACCAAGCCCACGAUCGGUAGCUGGUCUGAGAGGAUGACCAGCCAGACUGGAACUGAGACACGGUCCAGACUCCUACGGGAGGCAGCAGUGAGGAAUCUUCCACAAUGGACGAAAGUCUGAUGGAGCAACUCCGCGUGCAGGAUGAAGGCCCUCGGGUCGUAAACUGCUUUUAUGAGUGAAGAAUACGACGUAACUCAUGAAUAAGGGUCGCUAACUACGUGCCAGCCGCCGCCGUAAU